ACGAGGUGCUGCAUGGCUGUCGUCAGCUCCGUGUCGUGAGAUGUUGGGUUAAGUCCCGUAACGAGCGCAACCCUUGUCCUUAGUUACCAGCACGUUAUGGUGGGCACUCUAAGGAGACUGCCGGUGACAAACCGGAGGAAGGUGGGGAUGACGUCAAGUCAUCAUGGCCCUUACGGCCUGGGCUACACACGUGCUACAAUGGUCGGUACAAAGGGUUGCCAAGCCGCGAGGUGGAGCUAAUCCCAUAAAACCGAUCGUAGUCCGGAUCGCAGUCUGCAACUCGACUGCGUGAAGUCGGAAUCGCUAGUAAUCGUGAAUCAGAAUGUCACGGUGAAUACGUUCCCGGGCCUU
rnacentral:rRNA from 1 species